UAGGGAAUAUUGGUAAUCUGGGAAACCGGGAACCAGCAACGCCGCGUGUGCGAUGAAGGCCUUCGGGUUGUAAAGCACUUUUUGAGGGGAUGGGGAAGGACAGUACCCUCAGAAUAAGCCUCGGCUAACUACGUGCCAGCAGCCGCGGUAACACGUAGGAGGCGAGCGUUAUUCGGAUUUACUGGGCGUAAAGCGCGUGCAGGCGGCUCGAUAAGUUGGAUGUGAAAGCUCCUGGCUUAACUGGGAGAGGUCGUUCAAAACUAUCAGACUUGAGAGUGGUAGAGGGAGGUGGAAUUCCGCAUGUAGUGGUGAAAUGCGUAGAUAUGCGGAGGAACACCAGUGGCGAAAGCGGCCUCCUGGCCCAUUUCUGACGCUCAGACACGAAAGCUAAGGUAGCAAACG
rnacentral:rRNA from 1 species